rnacentral:rRNA from 1 species
GCAAGUCGAGGGGCAGCGCGAGUAGCAAUACUUGGGCGGCGACCGGCGCAAGGGUGCGUAACGCGUGAGCAACAUGCCCGUAUCAGGGGGAUAAUCCAGGGAAACUUGGUCUAAUACCCCAUAGUAAUCUGGAGAGGCAUCUUUUUGGAUUUAAAGCUUUGGUGGAUACGGAUGGGCAUGCGUUCCAUUAGCUAGUUGGUGAGGUAACGGCUCACCAAGGCAACGAUGGAUAGGGGAACUGAGAGGUUUAUCCCCCACACUGGUACUGAGACACGGACCAGACUCCUACGGGAGGCAGCAGUGAGGAAUAUUGGUCAAUGGGCGCAAGCCUGAACCAGCCACGUCGCGUGAAGGAAGACGGCCCUACGGGUUGUAAACUUCUUUUGUAAGGGAAUAAAGUGUAGUACGUGUACUAUUUUGCAUGUACCUUACGAAUAAGGAUCGGCUAACUCCGUGCCAGCAGCCGCGGUAAUACGGAGGAUCCGAGCGUUAUCCGGAUUUAUUGGGUUUAAAGGGUGCGCAGGCGGGAGAUUAAGUCGGCGGUGAAAUUUUGCAGCUUAACUGUAAAAGUGCCUUCGAAACUGGUUUCCUUGAGUGUAGAUGAAGUAGGCGGAAUUUGUGGUGUAGCGGUGAAAUGCAUAGAUAUCACGAGGAACUCCGAUUGCGCAGGCAGCUUACUAAACUACUACUGACGCUCAGGCACGAAGGCGUGGGGAUCAAACAGGAUUAGAUACCCUGGUAGUCCACGCAGUAAACGAUGAUUACUCGCUGUUUGCGAUAUACAGUAAGCGGCUUAGCGAAAGCGGUAAGUAAUCCACCUGGGGAGUACGUUCGCAAGAAUGAAACUCAAAGAAAUGACGGGGGCCCGCACAACCGGAGGAACAUG